rnacentral:tRNA from 1 species
GUUUUAAUAAUUUAUACAUAAAAUAUUGGUCUUGUAAACCAAAUAAAAGAAAUUUCUUUUAAAACU